GCACGGCACAAGAUCGGGACGCUCCUGGAUUCGAUAGGCCAGGCCGAUCGUGUCCUGGAGGGUAAACACCACACCAUGCGCGACCAGCCACGCCAGGCCGCGCGCCAGGCUCUCGGCGUCUGUGUCGAUGCGCUCCGUGAUGAUCGCGUUGGAUAGUUUCUUUGCCCAACGGCGGGCACUAUGCGUGGUUGGAUCAAAACGCGGCGCCACGUGUUGUGCAACGUUGAUACUGCCCGAGGCGACGGCGUACUCGAUGGCGUGGCGCUCGUUGUAGAACCAGCCCUCGGCGUCGGCACAUGCAAACACGUCGACUCGGUCGUGCGUGGCCGCAGGCUGCACCCAAUAGGUUCCGAACGUGCCAAUGUCCUCGCCAAAUGCGCACUUGCGGCGGUCCCGGCAGUAGCAUGUCUGCAUCGCAGCCAGCCGCGGGCAGUUGGCAGAAAAGUCGACUCGCCUUUGCUUGACGGCCUUGGCCACCAGGUGGCGCAGCGCGUUGAUCUUGCCGGCCGCACCGGCGACAGACAUGGCACGGAUAAAGAGAUCCACUGCCAGAUGACUGCCAUAGUGUGAUAAGCGGGUUUGACUAGCCGCACAGCAGAGGAGGGCAGAGACGAGUGGACCAUCAUCGCGUGUGAUUGCCGCGCGCAGGCAUGCGCCCACAGUCUCUGGAAGCAUAAUGUUGUACCACCGAAAGAGAUCGAGUACGGCAUCGGCUCGCCCCAAGAGACACGCCAGGCCGACUAUGUUGCGACAGGCACGGUUGUGCCUAACCAGUGAUGCGUCGUCGUCGGUCGCAUUGCUCGUCUUGUGUGACGGUGACGGCGGAGAUGAGGGUUUGUGCGGUUCAGGGAACCACUCGGUCGAUGACACCGUCGCCGAGGUCAGACGCUCGACCAUGUCCACGAAUUGGCGUACGAUGAGGCAUGCCGGCGCCGUGGCCAGCAGCGCCGCGAUCUCGCCACGAUGGGGAUCGCUGGGGACCACAAAGUCUCGGGCCGCCUCCUCUGGGGUCAUCCCAGACUGACACUGCGAGACCACCAGGGCGAUGGAAGCGGCUUGGCCUUUGACCCAUGCGUCGGUGGCGCCUGGAUGGCGUGCGAGCCGUGCGGCAUCGACACUGAGCGGACAGGAGACGCAUGCACGCAGUUUAGGAGACACUUGGGCGAGAUGAAAGCGCCAGCAAGGAGCGAGAAUCGGAUGGCCCGCGGCAUCGACGCCGUUGGCGAUAAAUAACAGAACCUCGGGCGGCAAUGUGUCGAGUCGCACAGGCACAUAUUGGUCGGUGUGUUGUGGGGGAUCGGUGGUGUGCAUGCCUGCAAAUGUGUUGGCUGGCUGUGCGCCAGCGAUAUGGCAUAACCCGUGCAAGGCAAUUUGCUGAAAAUAAGCGUCAUCC
rnacentral:lncRNA from 1 species